UGACAACGUUUAUUCAAGACGUAUGUAUUUUUCAACUUGCUAUACAAAAAUGUAAGAAUUUUAAAAUUGUAUGAACUUAGGAUUAAUUACAAAAUAUUUUUAUAGGCAUAAAAUGCACAACCAAUUUUAUCUAAGUAAUCACUAUAUAAAAAUAUAAUUAGCAAAAAAAAUAAAUUGCGGAGCUUCUAGUAUAAAUAUUUUUUAAAAAAAGGAUUAGACAAAUGUAAAAGAAAAAUAGUUAUGAUAACCUGAUGCCUAUAAUUUUCCCAGCCAUUGGAGCCAGCAACUAAGACAGCCCAUAUGGUUCCUUCCGAUUCUUCGGUCAAGAAUUGAGAAAUACUGCGACCUUCAAUACUAACCCAAGUUGAGAGCAAAACAAAAAAUACAACACUAACAUAAUACCUAAAUAUCAUAGUAUUAUAUAUGUUAUGAGGUUAACAAAGAGAGCGCUCAAAAUGAUGGGAAUUAUUGAGUUGUAUGAAUAAAUAUAUGAGAAAUUUAUAGGACUUCAAAAUCUUUGUACCAACAUUAGGGACGUAUCACUUAGGAGACUAAUGAGAAUAACGUAGAUUUCAGAGUUCUAAAGGGAAAAACAAUCAUAGGAACUCACGAAAUAUGUCAAAAAAAUUGACAAUUGCAAUAUACUUUUUAUUCUUAUUGCAGUACGAGAAAUUUCUUGUUACUCAUGAUAAUUUUGUCAUGUCAGCACAUUGUUAUUUGUACUUUCUUUUGGUCUAUUGGAGUGGACUGAUGCAAAUAAGGAAAUCAUGCAUCGGCCGGAGAGAAUAAGAUUAAAUGACAUACUUCUAAAUGUUAUAACAUCUCAAAACUGCUAUACGUACAAGAAUAACUUAAAUAUAAAUACAAAAAAUACAACACUAACAUAAUACCUAAAUAUCAUAGUAUUAUAUAUGUUAUGAGGUUAACAAAGAGAGCGCUCAAAAUGAUGGGAAUUAUUGAGUUGUAUGAAUAAAUAUAUGAGAAAUUUAUAGGACUUCAAAAUCUUUGUACCAACAUUAGGGACGUAUCACUUAGGAGACUAAUGAGAAUAACGUAGAUUUCAGAGUUCUAAAGGGAAAAACAAUCAUAGGAACUCACGAAAUAUGUCAAAAAAAUUGACAAUUGCAAUAUACUUUUUAUUCUUAUUGCAGUACGAGAAAUUUCUUGUUACUCAUGAUAAUUUUGUCAUGUCAGCACAUUGUUAUUUGUACUUUCUUUUGGUCUAUUGGAGUGGACUGAUGCAAAUAAGGAAAUCAUGCAUCGGCCGGAGAGAAUAAGAUUAAAUGACAUACUUCUAAAUGUUAUAACAUCUCAAAACUGCUAUACGUACAAGAAUAACUUAAAUAUAAAUACAAAAAAUACAACACUAACAUAAUACCUAAAUAUCCUUGUAUUAUAUAUGUUAUGAGGUUAACAAAGAGAGCGCUCAAAAUGAUGGGAAUUAUUGAGUUGUAUGAAUAAAUAUAUGAGAAAUUUAUAGGACUUCAAAAUCUUUGUACCAACAUUAGGGACGUAUCACUUAGGAGACUAAUGAGAAUAACGUAGAUUUCAG
rnacentral:lncRNA from 1 species